UACGGAGGAUGCGAGCGUUAUCCGGAUUUAUUGGGUUUAAAGGGUGCGUAGGCGGCUUAGUAAGUCAGCGGUGAAAUUUUGCAGCUUAACUGUAACAGUGCCGUUGAUACUGCCAGGCUAGGAUUUGGUUGCCGUGGGUGGAAUGUGUGGUGUAGCGGUGAAAUGCUUAGAUAUCACACAGAAUAUCGAUUGCGAAGGCAGCUCACAAAGCCAAGAUUGACGCUGAGGCACGAAAGUGUGGGGAUCAAACAGGA
rnacentral:rRNA from 1 species